rnacentral:rRNA from 1 species
GUAGCAUAAUCAUUUGCUUCUUAAUUGGGGGCUGGAAUGAACGGUUUAAUUAUUAAGGGUGAGUUUGUUAGAUUAAAUAGUAGAUUAAAGCUAAAGUAAGAAUUCUUUAAUGUAUAGGGGGACGACAAGACCCUAAAAGCUUUAUAAUAAGUUAUUUUAUAGUGAAAAAGGAGUAUAUUAAUUUACUGGGGCAGUAAAUUUUUUAAAUUAAACGAAGUUUAAGAGACCCUUUAUAUAAGGAUUUUAUGUAAAAGUUACUUUAGGGAUAACAGUGUAAUAUAUUUAGAGAGGUCUUAUUGAUAAGUAUGUUUGCAACCUCGNUGUUGNWUUAGAAAGUCUAUAUGGAGCAGAAGAUAUAUAAGAAAGUUUUGUUCAACUUUUGAAUUUCUAC